rnacentral:lncRNA from 1 species
AACAAUCGGCUGAGAAUUCCAUUCCUCUCCGGAUAUCUGUUCGGAAUCAGCUGCAGCCACUGCAUUCUCUGUAACUUCCACUCUUCCGGAGCAACUUUUUCUUUUUAUCAAGUACAUGGCAACAAUCGAAGAACUCAUCCCAAUCAUCGUAAUACCCAAAACUGUUCCGAUGAUCAAAUGUGUAUGAUUUCUUCUGGUUACACUUUUAUACGUCUUAUGUCCACAGGGUUCGGUUGAGGAGUUAUCGUUCCUGCAGAGAAGAGGAUUCCCGGCGAAACAUAAAUCCGGGAAUGUUGAGAACUGCCCGCCCGUCGGGACCGUGCCGGAAAGAUUGUUAUAUGCAACGUUAAAACACGACAAGAAGCUG